AUUGAACGCUGGCGGCAUGCCUUACACAUGCAAGUCGAACGGCAGCAUGAUCUAGCUUGCUAGAUUGAUGGCGAGUGGCGAACGGGUGAGUAAUACAUCGGAACGUGCCCUGUAGUGGGGGAUAACUAGUCGAAAGAUUAGCUAAUACCGCAUACGACCUGAGGGUGAAAGUGGGGGACCGCAAGGCCUCAUGCUAUAGGAGCGGCCGAUGUCUGAUUAGCUAGUUGGUGAGGUAAAGGCUCACCAAGGCGACGAUCAGUAGCUGGUCUGAGAGGACGAUCAGCCACACUGGGACUGAGACACGGCCCAGACUCCUACGGGAGGCAGCAGUGGGGAAUUUUGGACAAUGGGGGCAACCCUGAUCCAGCAAUGCCGCGUGUGUGAAGAAGGCCUUCGGGUUGUAAAGCACUUUUGUCCGGAAAGAAAUCGCACUUACUAAUAUUAGGUGUGGAUGACGGUACCGGAAGAAUAAGGACCGGCUAACUACGUGCCAGCAGCCGCGGUAAUACGUAGGGUCCAAGCGUUAAUCGGAAUUACUGGGCGUAAAGCGUGCGCAGGCGGUUGUGCAAGACCGAUGUGAAAUCCCCGGGCUUAACCUGGGAAUUGCAUUGGUGACUGCACGGCUAGAGUGUGUCAGAGGGGGGUAGAAUUCCACGUGUAGCAGUGAAAUGCGUAGAGAUGUGGAGGAAUACCGAUGGCGAAGGCAGCCCCCUGGGAUAACACUGACGCUCAUGCACGAAAGCGUGGGGAGCAAACAGGAUUAGAUACCCUGGUAGUCCACGCCCUAAACGAUGUCAACUAGUUGUUGGGGAUUCAUUUCCUUAGUAACGUAGCUAACGCGUGAAGUUGACCGCCUGGGGAGUACGGUCGCAAGAUUAAAACUCAAAGGAAUUGACGGGGACCCGCACAAGCGGUGGAUGAUGUGGAUUAAUUCGAUGCAACGCGAAAAACCUUACCUACCCUUGACAUGCCACUAACGAAGCAGAGAUGCAUUAGGUGCUCGAAAGAGAAAGUGGACACAGGUGCUGCAUGGCUGUCGUCGGCUCGUGUCGUGAGAUGUUGGGUUAAGUCCCGCAACGAGCGCAACCCUUGUCUCUAGUUGCUACGAAAGGGCACUCUAGAGAGACUGCCGGUGACAAACCGGAGGAAGGUGGGGAUGACGUCAAGUCCUCAUGGCCCUUAUGGGUAGGGCUUCACACGUCAUACAAUGGUGCAUACAGAGGGUUGCCAAGCCGCGAGGUGGAGCUAAUCCCAGAAAAUGCAUCGUAGUCCGGAUCGUAGUCUGCAACUCGACUACGUGAAGCUGGAAUCGCUAGUAAUCGCGGAUCAGCAUGCCGCGGUGAAUACGUUCCCGGGUCU
rnacentral:rRNA from 1 species